rnacentral:lncRNA from 1 species
GAAAUGCACGCAUCACGAUGCAACAUGAUAUGAGAAGAUGCACACACGGAAACACAUAUGAUCCAAUCACAUAAACAUGAAUGAAAACACACAUGGCAUGCAACGACACUCAAACAAGUAGGAAAGAAACGAAGGAAAAGAAGGAAAUAAAAAAAAAAUCAAAAGAAACCAAAUAAGCAUAAAAAAGUGAACUUUCAUCGAACACGUGGCGUGCGUGACUUCGGCACCAAAUUCCAAGCACAUACGAGACCCAAUCACAAAUCCAUACACAUCCCUAAAAACUACAUGCU